UUACAGUGAAAUAUUGUAUUGAAAUGUGCCCUGGUAAGUCACAUGACAUAACCGAUCUGUUUUGAAUUGAAAGCGCUGUCGUCGUGUCCCUCUUCUAUUCCGGGCUGAAUGGAGAAGCAGGUAUCCUAGUUACAACAUGACUGAGCUAACUGGAGAGCCAUCCAAAAUCAUUUGGUGACACUGGCAAGCACGGUGAUACUGCUGGAGACGGAUGUCACUCUCUUCUGCAACAUGUAAAAAUUAGAGUGGAG